rnacentral:piRNA from 1 species
GCUACCGGCCCGGCACCGUGGCUCUGC